AAAAGGACCCUCAACAACGGAUAUCUCGGGUCUUGCAUCGAUGAAGAACAUAGCAAAAUGCGAUACUUGGUGUGAAUUGCAGAAUCCCGUGAACCAUCGAGUCUUUGAACGCAAGUUGCGCCCGAAGCCAUUAGGCCGAGGGCACGUCUGCCUGGGCAUC
rnacentral:rRNA from 1 species